GCAUAGGACUCCAUUACUCUUGCACUGAGACUUGUAAUUGAAAGAGACACAAGCUAGGUGUUGUAGUCUGUCUUCCAACGGCUGCCUUUAUUUUCGUAGUGUCUUCACCUUCAGCCUGAAAUAGGAAUAGGUGGAGGAAUAGGAAUAGGAAUAAAAUAGGAAUAUUUCUGGUGAAUGAAUCACAGCUUAAGUAUGAGACAAACUUUCGUUUGUCUAUGACAUUAAUAUUUUGGAAAAAAAGAUCUUAGAAUCAUUUCUUACAGCAAUACAGCCAUAAAGAGCUGAGUGAGACAUUUCUGAGAAGUACUCACAGCCACCAAGAAGGUCACCAUUCUGUGGCCACAGCAGAGGAUUGUGCUGCUCAUAAGGGCAAAGGAUUCUGGGGCAGGUGGAGUUCCAACAUCUGACUUGACUCGAUCGGGAGCGUCUCUGACCUGGAGGCAGAAGCUUGGUCUCUGAUGAGCCCUGGGUUUCAGGAGACAAGGAGCAGCUCGUACAGUGAUGAACAAAGCUGAGGGGUGAAUAUGACUGCACUUGUGUGCGGUGUCCAUGGGCCCUGCAGACAAAGCAGGGAUACCGGCCAGAGCUGCUCAGAGCCCAUCCGCCCCACCUCCUCAAGACCCCGUCUCCAGGCAGAGUUACAUCUUGAGGUUCUGGCACUGAGGGCAUCUACAUUUGAGUAUUGAAGGGGCAUCAUUCACCGUGAAACACAGAGCAGCUAGAAAAUCCUAAUACUCAAACAUCGGGUGAUGCAUUUGAAAGAUGACUUAUAAGUUAAAGAAACAACAGGACAGUAAGAGAUAUUCUGAGUUCAUAACAUUUCAGAACAUCAAAACUGUUGGACCACAGCAUUAGCAAUGCUAAGAGAAUGGCUAAGAAAAAGCAAAAAUGCUGCAUACAUGUAAGGAUGGAGAAUAAUUGUACCCGUCACUUGCUGGAGUGUGAAAUGGUACAGGGCCACAGCAAACUCCUUCCACUGCCCACUGUUGGUUCCUGUGCUCCGAAUCCCUCUCAUUCAACCCCAACCCCUCUCGAGGACUUUUCCUUGCUUCCUGUCCUCAUCCCAGACCCUCCAGCCAUGUGACCCAGGGCCUUGACUUUUGCACAGGACUGAGAACGGCUUCCAGACCUCACGGAAAGAGCUCACAGAGCCCAGGAGCUGGGAACGGAGAGUGUGGACCAUGUCUGACCUUCGAGUAUCUUUGGAGGUUUGAUGAUAACAAAUUAGAAGGGAGAGGGAAUUGGCCCCAGCAGAACACAAAGGUUUGAAAGAGCCACUUCAGGGAAUGGAAAUCAGAGCCAGUUAUGGGCUCACGCAAUAAUAUUGAAAACUCCACUCAGUAAAAUUAAAGCCAUCAAAAAGAAAGCACAAAUGUGUAAGGAGUGACUCAGAGGUUUAUGUGGAUUUUCUGUAGUGCCAGGCUGGAUGUCUAGAAGGAAGUGCAUGGUGUUUUCUGCAAUUCAGGAAGGGAGGAUAGCAGGGCUCGGAAGAGAAUGAGGAGGAAAGUACUGGUGGGAGGCAAGAGCCCCUACCUCAGCCAGUGCCCAGCCGUGCUACUGGGAGUCUUCAGUCCUAGCAUAUCCCGGAGCACGAAGCCUCUUUCCAGUGUCCUCCUGCCAUUAUGAAGGAGGAGAGGAUCUGGAAAUCUUCCGAGGUUUGGUUGCUUGCUGUCCUUUUCAUAAACCUCAGUGAUGGCCCGUUCAUUUCAAAGAACAGGAACCUAACACCCAAGAGCUCUCUUUGUAUAUGCAUGUGGUGACUUAGAACAAAACUGGAAGAAAUAAGCAGAGUAUCACACAUGAACUAAACACUUACACAUUCUAUCACUUUCUGAAAAGGUUUCCGUAGGGGGAAAUAGUAAAACAAACGUGACGAGAUCUGAAUUAUGAUGAUGAAAUGUAAUGGAGCCUGCGCUUGUGUUUACUUUGGGCAGUGAAGUUUCAAGACCAGCAGAAAUGACCACUUCUGAGGCCCAAAGUUACCACACACUGGGCCCUGGACUUCAAAGCCUCUGGGUAUACCAGGCCUGGAGAGCCCUAGGAUGUGUUUGGGCAAUGAGGGAAGAAACGAGAGGCAGUCAUGACCUCGAACCAGCAGUGGGGAUGUGCAAGGCCACCUGGAGCUCUGUGGUACCUGGGCUGCAGCUACCAAAGCGUCCAAAAUUCAGACAGUAAACAGAUGCAUUCACCGAAGGAUGAGAGGAUGCCUGCAGUGAACCCGGGGUCGGCGCACCAGCAAGGUCCUGAGAGGUGUUCAGCUUUGUGCUUCAGGAGCCUUCCUGGACCUCCGAUAGCUUCCUGACACAGCUGCGCAGAACUUCCUUUACUGUUCAGUUCUAGGGAACACUUUUUGAUUUCUUCAUCUUACUGUUUCAUGUGCAUUCGGGAGCAAGAUAGUCUCCAUUAUCGGGAGGUGAAGGGCAAACAUUCAUAAGUCUACUGCUCCGAAUGGAUCACUGUACCUCCACAGAACGGCUGGUUUGAACUCUUUUGACCUAUCUUGCGCUGAGAAUGGAUGUUAAG